rnacentral:rRNA from 1 species
UGGGGAAUUUUGGACAAUGGGGGCAACCCUGAUCCAGCCAUCCCGCGUGUGCGAUGAAGGCCUUCGGGUUGUAAAGCACUUUUGGCAGGGAAGAAACAGCCUGGGAUAAUACCCCGGGCGACUGACGGUACCUGCAGAAUAAGCACCGGCUAACUACGUGCCAGCAGCCGCGGUAAUACGUAGGGUGCAAGCGUUAAUCGGAAUUACUGGGCGUAAAGCGUGCGCAGGCGGUUCGGAAAGAAAGGUGUGAAAUCCCAGGGCUUAACCUUGGAACUGCACUUUUAACUACCGAGCUAGAGUACGUCAGAGGGGGGUAGAAUUCCACGUGUAGCAGUGAAAUGCGUAGAGAUGUGGAGGAAUACCGAUGGCGAAGGCAGCCCCCUGGGAUGAUACUGACGCUCAUGCACGAAAGCGUGGGGAGCAAACAGGAUUAGAUACCCUGGUAGUCCACGCCCUAAACGAUGUCAACUAGCUGUUGGGGUUUUAUUAAUCUUAGUAGCGCAGCUAACGCGUGAAGUUGACCGCCUGGGGGAGUACGGUCGCAAGAUUAAAACUUAAAGUGAAUUGACGGGGGUCAUAGCUG